ACAGCCUAGAACCUCUUGAACAUCAAAAAGAAUUUCCACCUAAACUUUACCCGUCGGACUUUUUACACUGCUGCCUGCUUGGAACUGGGUUGGCCGCUGCUGGAAUGUCUCAGACUCUCAUUCCACCUUCACUCCCUUCUUCUACUCUCUCUGAAAAGUCUAAUCUCCUAAACCAACCCUCUCCAUUCUUUUCAUACCCCACCUUUCGUCACUGGUGGCACUUGCGGAAUCGGUUACAUAUUUUUACAUACAUAGAUAAAAAGAAGUCUUGGAAUUUAUUUUCUUUUCCUCUUUGGUUUGUGAGAAUUGAGAAAUUAAUUAUAUUGUGAACUGGGAAUUGGGUUUUGUUUUUUCUACCUUUUAGGCAUGCUAUUGUGGAGGAAUUGGUGGGGUUUGGAGCCAGAGUGUACACGCGCUGUCGGAAUGAGAGUGAGCUUGAUGGGUGUCUGAGUGAACGGGAUAAUUUGGGUUUUGGGGUUACUGGGUCAGUCUGUUACGUGUGAGAGAGAGGAGCUUAUGAGCACUGUGUCCACUUUGUUUGAUGGGAAGCUCAACAUCCUCACUGGCUUGUUUUUGAUCCGUAUAUAAAUAUUGUCGGGAGAAACAUACGGAAAUCGGUAGUGGAUUUCACAGCUGCAGGAUUUUCUACUCUCAUGGCAGCCAAUUUUGAAUCUGUUUUCCAUAUUUUUCAACUUGCUUAUCCACCUCUCAAAGCAUCAGGAGUGGGAAGCAUUGUAUUCACCUCCUCUGUAUCGGGUUUUGUUUCACUGAAGUCUAUGCCUGUUCAGGGAGCUACCAAAGUACCAAAAAUAUAUUCCAACAAUGUGUGUCUGAACAUCAUUUUCUGCUGCUCAUGGUAAGCUGAAGCCAUUUACAGUUAUCCCUCCA